GCCACGUACGGAUGAUCGUUCCUCGUCGGCCGUGUGUUUGAAAUGGUCGGUGGGACUUUCGUCCGUUUGUGUC
rnacentral:pre_miRNA from 1 species